UGGGGAAUUGUUCGCAAUGGGCGCAAGCCUGACGACGCAACGCCGCGUGGAGGAUGAAGAUCUUCGGGUCGUAAACUCCUUUCGAUCGAGACGAACGGCUCCCGGGCUAAUCACCGGGAGAGUGACGGUACCGAGAGAAGAAGCCCCGGCUAACUCCGUGCCAGCAGCCGCGGUAAUACGGGGGGGGCAAGCGUUGUUCGGAAUUACUGGGCGUAAAGGGCUCGUAGGCGGCCAACUAAGUCAGACGUGAAAUCCCUCGGCUUAACCGGGGAACUGCGUCUGAUACUGGAUGGCUUGAGGUUGGGAGAGGGAUGCGGAAUUCCAGGUGUAGCGGUGAAAUGCGUAGAUAUCUGGAGGAACACCGGUGGCGAAGGCGGCAUCCUGGACCAAUUCUGACGCUGAGGAGCGAAAGCCAGGGGAGCAAACGGGAUUAGAUACCCCUGUAGUCC
rnacentral:rRNA from 1 species